AGCUCAGCAGGCAGAGCAACUGACUUGUAAUCAGUAGGUCACCAGUUCGAUUCCGGUAGUCGGCACCA
rnacentral:tRNA from 1 species